rnacentral:rRNA from 1 species
GAUGAACGCUGGCGGCGUGCCUAAUACAUGCAAGUCGAGCGAACGGACGAGAAGCUUGCUUCUCUGAUGUUAGCGGCGGACGGGUGAGUAACACGUGGAUAACCUACCUAUAAGACUGGGAUAACUUCGGGAAACCGGAGCUAAUACCGGAUAAUAUUUUGAACCGCAUGGUUCAAAAGUGAAAGACGGUCUUGCUGUCACUUGUAGAUGUAUCCGCGCUGCAUUAGCUAGUUGGUAAGGUAACGGCUUACCAAGGCAACGAUGCAUAGCCGACCUGAGAGGGUGAUCGGCCACACUGGAACUGAGACACGGUCCAGACUCCUACGGGAGGCAGCAGUAGGGAAUCUUCCGCAAUGGGCGAAAGCCUGACGGAGCAACGCCGCGUGAGUGAUGAAGGUCUUCGGAUCGUAAAACUCUGUUAUUAGGGAAGAACAUAUGUGUAAGUAACUGUGCACAUCUUGACGGUACCUAAUCAGAAAGCCACGGCUAACUACGUG